rnacentral:lncRNA from 1 species
UUAUUUUAAGGAAAAACUUCAAAUACCACACAUGUGGUUUCACACUUUCUCAGUUUAGUACCCUAUGGUUUAAAGUGUAUCAAUUUAGUAUCAUGUGGUUUCAUUUUUAUCUUUUUAUUAUCGAUUGCACUAAUUUUUUUCGUUAAAUCAGUAACAAAGUUAAAACCAAAGGCAGCGUUUGAUUCGGGUAUAAGCAAAAACAAGCUAUUACAGGGAUAUGUACAAGUACGGGGAUAAGAAAAAUAGCGUUUGGAUAGAAAAUAUGGAAUAAGAAAAAUAGUGGGUAGUUAUAUAUAGAAAAUAGAGGUGUUGGUGGGAAAAGUUAUACCAGCUUAUUUCAGGUACCCGAGAACUACUAUUCUAGGGUAAAAAAUUUGCGUUUGGGUAUAAAGAGGGGAUAAGGGGUUAUCACUCCCCUCAUCCCCCAUCCAAACGGUGCAAAAGGGUACUAAAGUAAAUAUUCGAUAAAACUAGGUGGAGUAUCUGAAGCUUUUCGUAUAUAAUUUAACAAAAUAUUAACGAAAAAGCUAAUGAAAAGAUAAAAAUAAAACCACAGAAUAUUAACUUGAUAUACUUUAAACUACACAGGGUACUAAAAUGAGAAAAUGCAUGCGAAACCAUAUGGAUGGUAUUUAAGUUUAC